rnacentral:lncRNA from 1 species
AUUCCGGCACGGGGGGCUGCAAGGGUGCAGCCCCAGAGCCUCGAGGAGAGAAGGGCGAGUCCUUAGGGGGCCAGGGGGCAGGUGUGGGGGGGCCUAGCUGGCCUCCAUGCGCAGCUUCUUCCUGCUCUGUGGCUCGUCGGGCUCCGAGUCGGAGCUGGAGUCGGAGCCGCCGUCGAAAGCGGAGAUGGUGCUGCCCUUGGGGUUGGUGUAGAGGCUGCUGUCCGCUGCUGGGUAGUUGGCCUGCAGCUGGGCGCUCGAGCGCGCCUUCUCCAGGGCUCGCACUUGCUGCUCCAGCAGCGCGUUCUGCCGCUUGAGGUCGUCGAUGUCCUGCUGGUGCGUGUGGUUUUUCCGGCGCAUGUACUGGAUGUACUCUGUGGCUUUGUCCAGGAUUUGGGCCCGGGAUGCCUUCUCGCCCUGCAGGGAGGGCACGGAGUCACGCAGGCUGUGGAAGCUGUCCUUGAUGUGGUCCCGCCGUUUGCGCUCCAGGGCGUUGUGGUGGGCUCGUUUGUCU